AGAGUUUGAUCCUGGCUCAGAUUGAACGCUGGCGGCAUGCCUUACACAUGCAAGUCGAACGGCAGCACGGGAGCAAUCCUGGUGGCGAGUGGCGAACGGGUGAGUAAUAUAUCGGAACGUGCCCAGUCGUGGGGGAUAACGUAGCGAAAGCUACGCUAAUACCGCAUACGAUCUAUGGAUGAAAGCGGGGGAUCGCAAGACCUCGCGCGAUUGGAGCGGCCGAUAUCAGAUUAGGUAGUUGGUGAGGUAAAGGCUCACCAAGCCGACGAUCUGUAGCUGGUCUGAGAGGACGACCAGCCACACUGGGACUGAGACACGGCCCAGACUCCUACGGGAGGCAGCAGUGGGGAAUUUUGGACAAUGGGCGCAAGCCUGAUCCAGCAAUGCCGCGUGCAGGAUGAAGGCCUUCGGGUUGUAAACUGCUUUUGUAUGGAACGAAACGGUGAGCUCUAAUACAGUUUGCUAAUGACGGUACCGUAAGAAUAAGCACCGGCUAACUACGUGCCAGCAGCCGCGGUAAUACGUAGGGUGCGAGCGUUAAUCGGAAUUACUGGGCGUAAAGCGUGCGCGGGCGGUGAUGUAAGACAGAUGUGAAAUGCCCGGGCUCAACCUGAGACCUGCAUUUGUGACUGCAUCGCUAGAGUACGGU
rnacentral:rRNA from 1 species